rnacentral:misc_RNA from 1 species
CUUCCAAUUGUCUUGCACCUGCACAUGCUCCAGCUAAGGUGUUGGCAGUAGAAAGCCCAAGAUCGUUCUGGCAGUGUGUUGAAAUGAUCACAUCUUCAACUCCUGGGGUAUUCGCUUUUAUUUUAGCAAUCAAUUGUCCAAAUUCUUCGGGUACAGUGUAUCCAACAGUAUCAGGGAUGUUAAGGGUUGUUGCCCCAGCUUUGAUAACCUCUCCAAGGAUAUGAUAAAGAAACUCUGGAUCAGAUCUUCCAGCAUCUUCAGGGCUAAAUUCAACAUCCUCACACCCAAUACUCCUUGCAUAAGCCACCAUACUCCUAGCUUUCUCAACAACUUGAUCUCUACUCAUUUUCAGCUUAUAAUUCAUAUGUAUCUCACUUGUAGCAAUAAACGUAUGAAUCCUCGGUUUCUUAGCAUACUUCACAGCCUCCCACGCCUUAUCAAUAUCCUUCUUAUUACACCUCGCCAAUCCACAAAUAACCGGAACAUAUCCCUCUUCAUAAACACCAUUCCCAACUUCCUUAGCUAUCAAUUUCACAGCUUCAAGAUCAGCUUCAGAAGAAGCAGGAAAACCAGCCUCAAUUAUAUCAACACCAAGCUUAGCUAACUGACGUGCAACAUCCAGUUUCUCCUUUGUAGUCAUUGUAGCCCCUGGUGAUUGUUCGCCAUCACGGAGAGUGGUGUCGAAUAUCCGGACAUAGUUUGGAUCGGGAAUGUGACUCGGAGUAUAUUCCGGUCUACGGCGGAUUGAGCAGCGGACAACGGGAAUGGAAAAUGAAGAAUUGGAGUGCUUGGAGAUUGAUGGUUUGAAAUUGAAGAGAGUUUGGGUUUGAAGUAAAGGGUUUUUGGGACGGAAUGAGAUUAAUGGUUUACCGGAGAUUGGAUGAUUUGCGGUGAUAGACGCCAUUGCCGGAGAAGAGAAAUUGGAGUUUGCGAGUGCUGGUUUUAAUGGCGG